AUGAACGCUGGCGGCGUGCCUAAUACAUGCCAGUCGAGCUAACAGACGAGGAGCUUGCUCCUCUGACGUUAGCGGCGGACGGGUGAGUAACACGUGGAUAACCUACCUAUAAGACUGGGAUAACUUCGGGAAACCGGAGCUAAUACCGGAUAAUAUAUUGAACCGCAUGGUUCAAUAGUGAAAGACGGUUUUGCUGUCACUUAUAGAUGGAUCCGCGCCGCAUUAGCUAGUUGGUAAGGUAACGGCUUACCAAGGCAACGAUGCGUAGCCGACCUGAGAGGGUGAUCGGCCACACUGGAACUGAGACACGGUCCAGACUCCUACGGGAGGCAGCAGUAGGGAAUCUUCCGCAAUGGGCGAAAGCCUGACGGAGCAACGCCGCGUGAGUGAUGAAGGUCUUCGGAUCGUAAAACUCUGUUAUUAGGGAAGAACAAAUGUGUAAGUAACUAUGCACGUCUUGACGGUACCUAAUCAGAAAGCCACGGCUAACUACGUG
rnacentral:rRNA from 1 species